GGUGGCUCAGUGGUAGAGUGCUUGCCUAGCAUUCAUGAGGCCCUGGGUUCGAUUCCUAGCACCA
rnacentral:tRNA from 1 species